GAUGAAGAACGUAGCGAAAUGCGAUAAGUAAUGUGAAUUGCAGAAUUCAGUGAAUCAUCGAAUCUUUGAACGCACAUUGCGCCCUCUGGUAUUCCAGAGGGCAUGCCUGUUCGAGCGUCAUUUCAACCCUCAAGCCCAGCUUGGUGUUGGGGCAUUGCCUUUUCCCUCCGGGGAGAGGGCAAGCCCUGAAAUUCAGUGGCGAGCUCGCCAGGACUCCGAGCGUAGUAGUAAAACCCUCGCUUUGGACUGUUCUGGCGCGGCCCUGCCGUAAAACCCCCCCAACUUCUGAAAAUUUGACCUCGGAUCAGGUAGGAAUACCCGCUGAACUUAAGCAUAUCAAUAAGCGGAGGA
rnacentral:misc_RNA from 1 species